GAAUAUUGCACAAUGGGCGCAAGCCUGAUGCAGCAACGCCGCGUGAGGGACGACGGCCUUCGGGUUGUAAACCUCUUUUAGCAGGGAAGAAGCGAAAGUGACGGUACCUGCAGAAAAAGCGCCGGCUAACUACGUGCCAGCAGCCGCGGUAAUACGUAGGGCGCAAGCGUUAUCCGGAAUUAUUGGGCGUAAAGAGCUCGUAGGCGGUUUGUCGCGUCUGCUGUGAAAUCCGGAGGCUCAACCUCCGGCCUGCAGUGGGUACGGGCAGACUAGAGUGCGGUAGGGGAGAUUGGAAUUCCUGGUGUAGCGGUGGAAUGCGCAGAUAUCAGGAGGAACACCGAUGGCGAAGGCAGAUCUCUGGGCCGUAACUGACGCUGAGGAGCGAAAGGGUGGGGAG
rnacentral:rRNA from 1 species